rnacentral:rRNA from 1 species
UCCGUAGGCGGGUAAUUAAAUCAGAGGUGAAAUCCCACAGCUUAACUGUGGAACUGCCUUAGAUACUGGUUAUCUUGAGUUUUAGUGAAGUAGAUAGAAUGUGUAGUGUAGCGGUGAAAUGCAUAGAUAUUACACAGAAUACCGAUUGCGAAGGCAGUCUACUAACUAACAACUGACGCUAAUGGACGAAAGCGUGGGGAGCGAACAGGAUUAGAUACCCUGGUAGUCC